rnacentral:rRNA from 1 species
GACGUAGGGUGCAAGCGUUGUCCGGAUUUAUUGGGCGUAAAGAGCUCGUAGGCGGCUUGUUGCGUCGACUGUGAAAACCCGCGGCUUAACCGCGGGCUUGCAGUUGAUACGGGCAGGCUAGAGUUCGGUAGGGGAGACUGGAAUUCCUGGUGUAGCGGUGAAAUGCGCAGAUAUCAGGAGGAACACCGGUGGCGAAGGCGGGUCUCUGGGCCACUACUGACGCUGAGAAGCGAAAGCAUGGGGAGCGAACAGG